GGAAGCGGGCGGAGGGUGCGCGGUGCGGCCUGCGCAGCCUCGGGCUCGAGUGAGCGCUGCGGCCGCCGCCCCCCCUGCGCCGCCCGGCUGCGGAGCUACGCGAGGCCCCGGCUCGGGCCUGGUCCGGAGCGGGCAUGGAGGGUUGUGGCCCCCCCAACAGCGCCCCCUGCGUGAGACCUCAGCGCACAGGUGCUGAGUGCGGCGCUGGAGCUUCCUGAACCGGACGAGCGGCUCCCCCUGGGCCCUGCCCCCCCCAGCGCCCCCCAGCGGCCCCUCCCCCCCGGGCAUGGAGGAG